GAAAAGUACCAAGGGACUGCAGUAAAACCAUUCAAGGAGAUUAAUGCCAGUAGAAACUGUCUUUGAAGUACAUCUGAGUUGGAAGAAUUAGGACUUGGCACCUUGUGGUCUCCUUGACUGUUGGGCUAAAGUAAACAUGAACUUCAAAGAUGGAACCGAGCAGAUGACUGGCCUUGAAGAGUUUUUCCUAGAAGUAAUAGUAGGAAGUAUUUAUGGGAAAAGUCAAGUGUUCUUCAAACAAAGGGCCUUGUGCACCAAUCCCAGUGUCCUGCUGCAUUCACACUCUGAUGCUUAUUUCAAGCCCACCUUGAAGGUUUUCUUCCCACAUGAAACUUCAAUAACUAAAGAAUAUAUACCAGCUUUUUCCUAGGAGGUA